rnacentral:rRNA from 1 species
GAUGAACGCUGGCGGCGUGCCUAAUACAUGCAAGUCGAGCGAACAGACGAGGAGCUUGCUCCUCUGACGUUAGCGGCGGACGGGUGAGUAACACGUGGAUAACCUACCUAUAAGACUGGGAUAACUUCGGGAAACCGGAGCUAAUACCGGAUAACAUGUUGAACCGCAUGGUUCAACAGUGAAAGACGGUCUUGCUGUCACUUAUAGAUGGAUCCGCGCUGCAUUAGCUAGUUGGUAAGGUAACGGCUUACCAAGGCAACGAUGCGUAGCCGACCUGAGAGGGUGAUCGGCCACACUGGAACUGAGACACGGUCCAGACUCCUACGGGAGGCAGCAGUAGGGAAUCUUCCGCAAUGGGCGAAAGCCUGACGGAGCAACGCCGCGUGAGUGAUGAAGGUCUUCGGAUCGUAAAACUCUGUUAUUAGGGAAGAACAAAUGUGUAAGUAACUAUGCACGUCUUGACGGUACCUAAUCAGAAAGCCACGGCUAACUACGUG